GCGGAUAUGGCGUAAUUGGUAGCCGCGCUAGAUUUAGGAUCUAGUGCCGUAAGGCGUGUGGGUUCGAGUCCCUCUAUCCGCA
rnacentral:tRNA from 1 species